rnacentral:rRNA from 1 species
UGCAAGUCGAGCGGUAGCACAGAGAGCUUGCUCUCGGGUGACGAGCGGCGGACGGGUGAGUAAUGUCUGGGAAACUGCCUGAUGGAGGGGGAUAACUACUGGAAACGGUAGCUAAUACCGCAUAAUGUCGCAAGACCAAAGUGGGGGACCUUCGGGCCUCAUGCCAUCAGAUGUGCCCAGAUGGGAUUAGCUAGUAGGUGGGGUAACGGCUCACCUAGGCGACGAUCCCUAGCUGGUCUGAGAGGAUGACCAGCCACACUGGAACUGAGACACGGUCCAGACUCCUACGGGAGGCAGCAGUGGGGAAUAUUGCACAAUGGGCGCAAGCCUGAUGCAGCCAUGCCGCGUGUGUGAAGAAGGCCUUCGGGUUGUAAAGCACUUUCAGCGGGGAGGAAGGC